AAUCAAGUGCCUUAAGGGUGU
rnacentral:rRNA from 2 species